rnacentral:rRNA from 1 species
UACGUAGGGUCCAAGCGUUAAUCGGAAUUACUGGGCGUAAAGCGUGCGCAGGCGGUUGUGCAAGACCGAUGUGAAAUCCCCGGGCUUAACCUGGGAAUGGCAUUGGUGACUGCACGGCUAGAGUGUGUCAGAGGGGGGGUAGAAUUCCACGUGUAGCAGUGAAAUGCGUAGAGAUGUGGAGGAAUACCGAUGGCGAAGGCAGCCCCCCUGGGAUAACACUGACGCUCAUGCACGAAAGCGUGGGGGGCAAACAGG